rnacentral:piRNA from 1 species
UAGAGACAAGGAUGAAAAAAGAAA